rnacentral:SRP_RNA from 1 species
AUAAGCGUCCUUAACCAAGCAUUUAAGGUGAACCAGGUCAGGAUCGGAAGGUAGCAGCCUUAAGCUGGCGAUGUUGUGGUUAAGGCGCUUUUUUU